rnacentral:lncRNA from 1 species
CGCCUACUAUGAAACCAGCGGUUAGAGGAACAGAAUACUUUUUAUUCAGAAAUGAAGAUAAAUUCGUAUGUCGUAAUUAAUGCACAAACCGUAACGAAUAAACAAAUCAUGAUACUCGAAUCAUGCGACUGAAUAAGUUACGAAUCAUGAGACUCAGUAAAUGUCAAAUCAUAUAUGAGACUUAAGAAUUGAAUGCUUCUUUUUGUAACUUC